rnacentral:tRNA from 1 species
GUGGAAAUAGCUCAGUAAAGUGCCUGCCUUGCAAGCAGGAGGAUCUGAGUUCAGAGCCCACUUCCCACC